rnacentral:rRNA from 1 species
UACGAAGGGGGCUAGCGUUGCUCGGAAUCACUGGGCGUAAAGGGUGCGUAGGCGGGUCUUUAAGUCAGGGGUGAAAUCCUGGAGCUCAACUCCAGAACUGCCUUUGAUACUGGAGAUCUUGAGUCCGGAAGAGGUAAGUGGAACUGCGAGUGUAGAGGUGAAAUUCGUAGAUAUUCGCAAGAACACCAGUGGCGAAGGCGGACUUACUGGUCCGGAACUGACGCUGAGGUGCGAAAGCGUGGGGAGCAAACAGG